AGAGUCGAUCGGACAGUCGCUGUUUCAUUGUUUCGGCAAUGGGAGGGAGGAAAGUCCGGGCUCCAUAGGGCAAAGUGCCAGGUAACCCCUGGGAGGCGUGAGCUUACGGAAAGUGCCGCAGAAAAUAACCGCCUAAGCACGCAAGUGCCGGUAAGGGUGAAAAGGUGUGGUAAGAGCGCACCGCACGGCUGGUAACAGUCCGUGGCUAGGCAAACCCCACUUGGAGCAAGACCAAAUAGGAGUCCAUUGGCGUGGCCCGCGCUGGACUCGGGUAGGUUGCUUGAGGUCGUCAGUGAUGGCGAUCCUAGAGGAAUGACUGUUCACGACAAAACCCGGCUUAUAGAUUGGCUCUCCAC
rnacentral:RNase_P_RNA from 1 species